ensembl:lncRNA
UUUCCACACAGCCCAGCGGAAUCAGGUAAAAGAAGAUGUCAUUAUAGAGUCACACUUCAAACCACGACUGCUUUGUUGCUCGGGAAGUCAGAGUUGAGUCGUGAAAGGGCUUUCAGCGCCGCCUCCUCUGCCACUGACACUGUGGGCUGCCAAAAAAUCUGAAGCCCACUCUGUAACUUUGGAACUCCAUAUUCUCGCUGUACAUAGACUACAGCACCCACCUUGUAGGGCAUCGCAGGUCACUUUGUAGCGAGCAUGCAUAUGACGCUGUCAUGGUAACCGCCGUUUAUAGCGAACCACAGGAAGGCGGGAGCCCGUGAUUGCUCUUUUGUUGCCUUUUCUCCAAAAUUACGCCUUUCUUUUUCUUAUGCUACAUGUUUCCCUAUAGGUCUAAAUCAUGGCUCAGUAUCUCAUAACAUAAAACAUAAAAAUACACCACAUGGAAAUUCUAAUAUGUCAAUGAGAAUAAUUAAUCAUUUAGCUAUUUAUUUAACUAAAAGGUAGUUUAAAUUAUCUUAUAAUUUACACUCAUUAUAUUACAUUUUUUGUGAAUGUUUAUGAAUAGUGUUAUGAAUGAUAUUUAUUGUAUAUGUACAAUUUGUUCUGAAAUGUACGUGUCUGAAAUGUGUUUGUUUUUAGACAAGCAAUUUGAGCUUUAAAAAUGUAAUAUUCACAAACAAAGCUUUUUUGAGAUCGGAGAAGGAUUUCAUAAAUCUUGACCAUCAAACCAUCUGAGGAAAUCACAAGACACAAAUAAAUAUGUUACAAAAAGCAAAGAGCACCCUCUUUGCUUUUUGUACUCCGGCUUCCUCCCACAGUCCAAAGACCUGCUGUGGGGAUUAAGUUAAUUGGUGACUCUGAAUUGCCCGUAGGUGUGUGAAUGUGAGUGUGAAUGGUUGUUUGUCAGCCUUGCGAUUGACUGGUGACCAGUGCAGGCUGCCCCCCGUCGCUCUGACCCCCUGAAGGACAAGCCGAGUAGAAGACGACUGACAAAGAGAAACACAACCCAAAAGUCAGUAAUGUCUUUUGUUGACUUUUCUUAUCCAUCAAUUUUCAUCAUGUAUUUUGUAGCAAUAGUUGAGCAGCUCCAGCUCCCAAAAUGUGUGUGUAGAAUGUAGAUAAAAAUACAAGCUGUUGUAUGGUAUUGUGAGCACAUACCGUACAUAGAAGGAGAACACACACACACACACAGCUACACACACAACUCAUGCAAUGCACCAUGUUGACUGCUUACCUAAGCGGUCCAGUGUGGUGACCCUCUGUUCUGACAGAUGGUGGCUGUGAGCAGUACCCCUCCAUCAAUGAAAGCUCGAAUGUGCCUGACUCUAGAUAUAGAUAUCAUGAUAUAUUUAGCUAAAUAUUGUAGUAAAUGAAUAAUAUAUUUGUGUUUACUGAGCCUCGAGUACAUACUUUGUGUUAUGGCCAAUUGGUUAAAUUCUUAUAAUGAUUAGCCAAAUGUUCUUAUAUCUCAAAUAAUACAAUCCAAACCAUCUGACGCUUUUGCAUAAUUUACCUGGGAAUCACAUCUACUCAACAUGGCAUUUAUUUUGAAAAAUCAGAUUUAAGACUGUCUAAGAGAUACAUAAUGUGUGCUAGCUGACAGAAUGGGCCAGAAAGACAAAAGAAAUGAGAAAGAAAGCAAAGCGGCUUUUAUCAGUGCACAAUCUAAUUUCUCAAAAGGUACAACGCUUUUCAGCAUAUGUACGGGGCUUUGAGCAUCGGUUUGUACCAAGUACCGAUCCAAGGACCAGUGUUUCUUUUAUAAAGCCGUGUGCAUCACUGUGUGGAUCUGAGUGGAUUUGACUUAAAUACCCUUGACGUAGUCAAACAAAUGUCAUGAAUAAAUACAUUGAAAAAUAUGUACUCAGAAGUUUAAUCAUUUUCCUAACAAUAAAAUGUCAUACAUUUUGUUUGAUUACGUCAUGAAAGCAAUGUUUAGGUCAGUCAUUGGCAUUGUCACCAAUACCCUACCCAGGUACUGUUCCGUUCUAAUAUUUGGGGUAUUGCACCUCUACAUUUUCCUUUUUAUAUCCAGUGGGCCAAAUAGAGUUGGCAAAAGCGCGAAAUCCGUCAAGACGCAUCUGCAAACUGAGCCAACAGUCACACAACACAAAAGUGUCAACAAGAAAAUAGGAGGAAGGAGAGAACGAGAGGGGAAGGCCUCAAUCAGACCCUCCUACUGAUUUAUUCUCUUCAUUCCAACCAGCUCUGAACUACUUGUGAGCACUUUGUAUGAUAGAAUAUAUGCAAGUGUUGUGUGUGUGUGUGUGUGUGUGUGUGUGUGUGUAGAGAGAGAGAGUGAUAGGGACUAAGAGAGAGAGAGAGAGGAAUACCAGAAUGCUAACGUAUGAUUGCAAAACUAAUCUAGAACUCUAUUAAAAGAAGAGACCCUACAGCUCAGGGUUAAACGAAAAAACAAAUGGCAUUACGACAUAUAUAUAC